UUCUGUCUCUCGCUAGUUGUGACCUGAGAUGACAAACCCUAAUCACUGUUCUCUGUUAUCUCAACAGUCAACUGAGUUUGGCCAAGGCCAUUAUUAAGAAGCACAUGCCAGCCGUCACCCAGGCCUCCUUGCAAGUUUCCUGCCUUUUAUUCUACAUAAAAUAUGUAAUGGUUUAUAACUAUUUAUGGGAAUAAUGCAUGCUAAUUUUAACUUAUCCAUACAAUAAAGUUUGAAAACAAACAAA
rnacentral:lncRNA from 1 species